rnacentral:misc_RNA from 1 species
GUUGUUGAUAAGGUGACUAUGGGUUGCUUUCUAGAAGACCAUGCUACAGCUCCUCCAUUCAUCAUAAACACAUAACCUGAUGUGCUUUUGCUGUCCUCCAUAUCGCCAGCAUAAUCACUGUCUGUAUACCUAAUCAAUUCACCAUCUCCAAUUUUCUUAUAGAAAAUUCCAUAACCAGUUGUGCCUUUCAAAUAUCGCAAGACCUUUUUCAAAGCUGCAAAAUGCAAUUGUGUUGGACAUGCCAUGAAACGGCUAAUCAAGCUUACUGCAAACAUUAAAUCAGGUCGUGUGGCAGUCAGAUACAUUAGACUACCCACAAUUUGCUUGUACACUGUUGCAUCCACUGCAAUGCCUUCUUUAUCUUUGCCAAUCUUCUGUCCAGGAACAAUUGGAUUACACACAGGAUUGAAAUUUUCUACCUCAAAACGCUUUAAAACCUCAGCAGCAUACUUCCUCUGAAAAAUAAAAAUGCCAUCUGAUCUUUGUAGAACUUCAAUUCCAAGGAAAUAUCU